rnacentral:rRNA from 1 species
GAUGAACGCUGGCGGUGUGCCUAAUACAUGCAAGUCGAGCGGUAAGGUCUCUUCGGAGAUACACGAGCGGCGGACGGGUGAGUAACGCGUAAGAAUGUACCCCAAACUGAGGGAUAAGCACCAGAAAUGGUGUCUAAUACCGCAUGUGCUCUUCGGAGUAAAGCUUCGGCGGUUUGGGAACAGCUUGCGUAAGAUUAGCUAGUUGGUAAGGUAAUGGCUUACCAAGGCGACGAUCUUUAGCUGGUCUGAGAGGAUGAUCAGCCACACUGGGACUGAGACACGGCCCAGACUCCUACGGGAGGCAGCAGUAGGGAAUUUUCCACAAUGGGGGCAACCCUGAUGGAGCAACACCGCGUGCAGGAUGAAGGCCUUCGGGUUGUAAACUGCUUUUGUCCGUGACGAAUAUGACGGUAGCAGACGAAUAAGGAUCGGCUAACUACGUGCCAGCAGCCGCCGCCG